rnacentral:misc_RNA from 1 species
UAUAUAAUCUACAGAACAACAAAGAUGAAGUCCGGAGAUUUCUUGGCUGUUGUGCUUUACCAAUUAGGGAUUUUUAGUUUCGUUUCCUUGUGUCAAAUCAAAGUGGCCGACAUUAAGGUGAAGGGGGAUUUCGUCUUUGAGAAUUUCACAACUUCAGCGUGGAAAACCGUCAAGUAUAACAGUUUCACCCCCAUAGAAGGAAUCACCAUUUACUCGACCUCGGAUCAAAAGAGUCAGUUUGGACUGAAAGGAGACCAGCCAUUUGUUUACAAUGGUCAGUAUGUCUGCCAAAUUAACAUUAAUCUUCGCAUACACGUCUAUUAUUAAAUUAAUAAUUUAAGAAUAUCUAAUUUUGAUGUCAAUUGACUCAUUGAAAAUUUAAUUUUUUUUUCAUGAAAAAACAUAACCAACGACAAAAAUUUAAUUGACUAAGGUUUGAAUUAAUACUGUUUAUUACUUAAUCGAUUAAUUCAUUUGUUUUUCUUGAUUUUUAUCAGUGCUUGUAUUUAUUUAAGCUUGUGACAAACUUCAUUUUUGUCGUGUAAAUACAGUAAAGAAUUUAUGGUGGACAUAAUUUUCGCGGAACGAUAAACCAUUAUAGCCUAUCACCUAUGCUUUUGGUUUUAGUUUUGAAAAAAUUUUAUGGAUAAAUAAACAUUUUUGGUGAAACGUAAUGCUUUCAUGAACAGGGGAAAAUUAUAGCUGCAAUUCAAUCAAUGAAUAAAAUAAAUGUUGUAAAACGGCUAAACAAUAUUUAUAAAACAGUAAAGUAGUCACCGCGUCAUUUGAAGCUGAAACUCAAUUGCAAGUCAGUUGUCAGAUUAUUUUGUCGAUUUGAACUUCAUUUGCAGAUUCAGAUAUGCAAUAAAUGUUUUGUCAUAUAUCAACAUUUUACGAUAAAGAAAGAGACCUGAGGACAAUAACCAUUUUAUACAUGCCAUAUAUCCAACAGAAAGACUACCAUGCAGUCAGUUUCCGGGGGGGGGGGGUGUGGCUAAUAUGCACGUACAUGCAACAUCUGAACGUUGUACAUGUACAUUUUCCCAUUUCUUUUAACCAACAAAUAUUGAAAGAAUGUUUUUCGUUUCAGUUGCUCGCAUUGGCAUCACCCCUACAAGAAGCGUGUGUUACUCAGAUACUGGGACAGUCGAGUUCCUGGAUAACAAUCAGGCCAAAAUGUUCCUGAAAUACCACAAUAAGAAGACCGGACAGACACACCAACAAAACCAGUGGGUUCUGUACACAGACUACGACAAUAUGGCGGUAGUGUACGCCUGCCAGAAGGAGCAGACGGACGGCACGUGCCACGCGGAUCACCGCUACAUCUGGAUACUGGCUAAAAAGAGUACCCUCACCCCAGAGGAGGAGGCCCGGGCCAAUGGAAUAGCGGCGUCCGUGUGUAUCUCGGGCCUCAAGACUGUCGACCACAAUCAGCCGUGUCCCUAAUAGUGUCGCAAGUCCAACCAUGUGUCAAUAACAUUCGUUUUUGUUCUUAUUAUUUGUGCUCAUCUAUCAUUAUAUUAUAAUAUAUAUAUUACAUUGAAAGAGGAACAG